rnacentral:rRNA from 1 species
UACGGAAGGCAGCAGUGGGGAAUAUUGCACAAUGGGCGCAAGCCUGAUGCAGCCAUGCCGCGUGUAUGAAGAAGGCCUUCGGGUUGUAAAGUACUUUCAGUCGUGAGGAAGGUGUUAAGGUUAAUAACCUUAGCAAUUGACGUUAGCGACAGAAGAAGCACCGGCUAACUCCGUGCCAGCAGCCGCGGUAAUACGGAGGGUGCGAGCGUUAAUCGGAAUUACUGGGCGUAAAGGGCACGCAGGCGGUUAAUUAAGUUGGAUGUGAAAUCCCCGGGCUUAACCUGGGAAUGGCAUUCAAGCUGGUUAGCUAGAGUCUUGUAGAGGGGGUAGAAUUCCAUGUGUAGCGGUGAAAUGCGUAGAGAUGUGGAGGAAUACCGGUGGCGAAGGCGGCCCCUGGACAAAGACUGACGCUCAUGUGCGAAAGCGUGGGGAGCAAACGAGGGAUUUAGAUACC